AGCAGUAGGGAAUCUUCCGCAAUGGACGAAAGUCUGACGGAGCAACGCCGCGUGAGUGAUGAAGGCUUUCGGGUCGUAAAACUCUGUUGUUAGGGAAGAACAAGUACAAGAGUAACUGCUUGUACCUUGACGGUACCUAACCAGAAAGCCACGGCUAACUACGUGCCAGCAGCCGCGGUAAUACGUAGGUGGCAAGCGUUAUCCGGAAUUAUUGGGCGUAAAGCGCGCGCAGGCGGUUUCUUAAGUCUGAUGUGAAAGCCCACGGCUCAACCGUGGAGGGUCAUUGGAAACUGGGGAACUUGAGUGCAGAAGAGAAAAGCGGAAUUCCACGUGUAGCGGUGAAAUGCGUAGAGAUGUGGAGGAACACCAGUGGCGAAGGCGGCUUUUUGGUCUGUAAC
rnacentral:rRNA from 1 species